UACGGGGGGGGUAAGCGUUGUUCGGAAUUACUGGGCGUAAAGGGCUCGUAGGCGGCCAACUAAGUCAUACGUGAAAUCCCUCGGCUUAACCGGGGAACUGCGUCCGAUACUGGAUGGCUUGAGUUUGGGAGAGGGAUGCGGAAUUCCAGGUGUAGCGGUGAAAUGCGUAGAUAUCUGGAGGAACACCGGUGGCGAAGGCGGCAUCCUGGACCAACACUGACGCUGAGGAGCGAAAGCCAGGGGAGCAAACGGG
rnacentral:rRNA from 1 species